CAUGGAGAGUUUGAUCCUGGCUCAGGAUGAACGCUGGCGGUAUGCUUAACACAUGCAAGUCGAACGAAGUCUUCGGACUUAGUGGCGGACGGGUGAGUAACGCGUAAGAAUCUACCUAUAGGUUCGGGACAACAGUUAGAAAUGACUGCUAAUACCGGAUGUGCCUUCGGGUGAAAGUUUUAAUGCCUGUAGAUGAGCUUGCGUUCGAUUAGCUAGAUGGAGUGGUAACGGCACACCAUGGCAACGAUCGAUAACUGGUCUGAGAGGAUGACCAGUCACACUGGGACUGAGACACGGCCCAGACUCCUACGGGAGGCAGCAGUGGGGAAUUUUCCGCAAUGGGCGAAAGCCUGACGGAGCAAUACCGCGUGAGGGA
rnacentral:rRNA from 1 species